rnacentral:tRNA from 1 species
GCCCGGGUGGCGGAAUAGGCAGACGCGCUAGCUUGAGGGGCUAGUCCACUCACGUGGGUGCUGGUUCGACUCCAGUCCCGGGCA